GAUAUACUCCCUCCGUCCCAAAAUUCUUGUCUUAGAUUUGUCUAAAUACGGAUGUAUCAAGUCACGUUUUAGUAUUAGAUACAUCCGUAUCUAGACAAAUCUAAGACAAGAAUUUUGGGACGGAGGGAGUAUAUU
rnacentral:pre_miRNA from 1 species